GCCCGAGUGCCUUGGGUGUGAUAUCUAGGGCAAGUGGCUCAUGGCAUCUACAGUGUCCUGAACAGGAAACGGGGCCACAGCUUUGAGGAGUCUCAGGUGGCCAGUAUCCCUAUGUUUAUUAUGAAAGCCUAACUGCUUGUCAAUGAGUCUUUUGGUUUUACUGACAGACGACCUGGGGUUUAACGCAGGCAGCCGGCUAGGCCUUCCUCUCGUGCGUAUGUGACCACUGGCGGAUGCUGUCCAGAGACCCGUUUUACGACACCAGCCGCCUGAGCCAGGAAGUGGCUUAGACCCCUAAGUGCAGAGGCCUGAAGGAAGGCAUCCUAAUUCUGGACAACUUGCUUAACAAAUUGUAAGCAGGCCUCCCGGAAGUCCAUCCCUGGGUGAGAUUCAGUGUGGCACCGGCGUCUGGCUGAUGAUGGACCGCAACGAGCCUUCAGAUUUCCUCAUGAUACCUCAAGACUGUCCACACACAGUGAUGCUCCACCUGGCAGGUUUCUGGGGCCUGACCAUGCAUUGCAUUGCUUGGCGUUAACACGUGAUGUCCUUUCCUUUGAUACUGAUUUCAAGAUUUCAGCGGCAACAGAAAUGCCCUUUCAGCAGCAUUCUCUUUGUGGAGUUGUGCUACACAUUGGAGGAAUCUAAUUACUUUUUCUGUGGAGCCAGGGGCUGUAUGCAAGUUCUUUACCUGUCAUGUUAUGGGAGACAGAAGGAGGCUGAUGCACACAAGAGACACCAAUUAAGUAAGUGAGAAGGCCAUCUCAGAAGUGGAUCAUCCAGCCCUAGUAAUGCCAGGCAAGCGGAGCCCUCUCAAUAUCUGAUGCAUAAAAUGACAGUCCUGGAGUGAGCAGUAUUGGUUUGGUGAGUAAUUCAAUUCACCUUUUACUAGACUAUCAGAAUAUUUCUAGAUCAACCAUAAUAGCUUGACCAGCUAUCAACUGGUCUAGCUAUCAACCAGAAUAGCUUUCUGCUAUUUCUACCUGAAAGCAUACAUGAGUACUCGAACCAUUUGAAUGGUAUAUAUGUGGACAAAUUUAUAUUCGUAUAUUUUCAUAUAUACAUUUAAGACAUAUUUAAAUAUAUGUAUAUGUGUAUUUUGUAUAAAAAUUUACAGAAAAUAUUCAAGGUAUUUAUGACAUCAACUCUUCCAGUACAUGGUGACUAAGGUAUUGAUGAAAUAUUAAGAAGAUAUAAUUAAGCAAAAGUCUUGUUUAGUGCUGUUGAGAUAGAAUUCUUUGGUUGUCAUGGUCACAUUGUGUUUAGAUUAUCUUUUGUGUCCAUUUCACUCUGCAUAAAAGUUUUGAGGGUUGUUUUUUUGUUGUUGUUGUUUGUUGUUUGUUGUUUUUUGUUUUUUGCCUGUGCUUUAAAUUUCAAAUACAAAAAUGCACCACAUUUAAGAGUUGAAUCUUUCAACUUUAGAUGAAGAAAGUCAUCUAUGUUUAUUCUAGGGCCAGAUGAAUGAUUGCUUUACCAUAAAAGUGAGGUUAAGAUUCUUUCUUUUAAAAGUUAAUAAAUAAGAAGAAUUAGAUAAAAUGGUCUGAAUUAGAAUAGACCAAAGAUCUAUUGUCUUUGUAUACUUUGUAUAUAUUGAAGCCCUGGUGUUGAUUUUAAGUUAUUUAUCAAAGAUAAAAUCUGGUGUAAUGAACACUAGUCAUUUUAGUUUUUGCUGCCCUUACUUUAACUCUUCCUUUUAAUUUGGAGAAUUUCUAAAAUUAGGAAGAUGAAAAUCUUCUUUCCCAAUACAAAAGCCAAAAACAAUAUAUUUACAAUUUGCUGCUCUUACUUUAACUCUUCCUUUUAAUUUGGAGAAUUUCUAAUAUUAGGAAGAUGAAAAUCUUCCUUCCCAAUACAAAAGCCAAAAACAAUAUAUUUACAAUCCUUCCUCAGAGUUCUCUCUGUAGGUCAGUUAUCUGGCUUUAUAUUACAACUUAUUCUAGAGUGAUAGUGACUAGCUUAUCAUCAGAAGAUAGCAUGUAUCUAAGUGAGAGUUUAUGAGGCUCCUAGUACUUGGAGAAUAAAAAGCAAUAAAGGAGGUUUGGGAAUGAGUGGAUGGACCACUCAAAAUCAUUCUAUAUUCUGAGUCUCAUAAGAAGCUGCUUUGGGGUAAAACAUUUAAUAACCACAUGAAGGAAAAGACCCACUCUGUGCACGUCUUCUUUUAGUCCUUUCAAGGUGCUAUAACAACAUAUCAAAGACUCAGUAGCUUGUAAAUGACAGAAAUUUAUUUCACACAGUUCUAGAGGCUGAAGGUCCACGAUCAGGGUGCCAGCUCGAUUGGGUUCUAGUGAACACCAUCUUCAAGGUUGUGGAAGCAAGUAAUCCUACUCCAAAGCAGUCACUGUUUCAGAAAUCAAGGACUUAAAUGCCAUACAUUUGGGUUCACCAAGUAAGUUCUGCUUAUUGCCAUGACUGAAGGUCCAACAUGCCGGCAUCAGCAUUCAUGUCCCCUUGAUAUACUACCAUAUCUUACAGUGACCAACCAGUCACCUAGUGUUAGGUUGACUCUACUUCACUGAAAAGAUGAUUAAUUUGGAGAGAAACGUUUUAUUAUUGUAUGUGAGGAUACAUUUCCCAGGCUCAUGAUUCUUGAAUUUAUAGAUUAGAUGUUUUAGAAAACAUUAGUGCUAUUCACCUUCUACAAUAAUUAUUCGGUGGGAUUUUUAGUUACAUCCAUCUUACAUUUCAUAAUUCUCAUGCCGCUGGGUCAAUGGAAAAAUAUAAUGAAACUCUGGUAUCACCUAGGAAAGUUAUUCUUAACUACCAAGAAGGCUUUGGGGAAUGGCUAUACAAUGCAGUCAGAGAGGAAAUGGAAGAGAAUGGAGGAGGCUAAGGAGUAGAAGAAUGCCAUCUCAGUGCUUGUCUAGUAAUAACAAUAAAAGGAGCAUUAUAGUUGUUUUAUAGAGUCAAGAUAAAUGAGAAUUCAGGUCCCUUAGGACUGAUCAUUUGGAGUAAAAUAUCUUUAAAAUUAUCCAACAUGAUAAGCUCUGAACCAUAAUUUGGUGCAAAGCAAGUAAAACAUGCACAUUGAUGAUGUUUCACGGUACUGAAAAAUCAUGGCUUACUACAAAGGAGUCUAGCAACAAAUAUGAAAGACAAUGUGACUCAAUUGGAAGAUUUUCAAUGUACUAAGUGAUGACUCAAGACAGAGCUGUAAAUGGCAAUGACUCCCCAAAGUAAGGCAGUGACUGGGGGGAAAGAAAAGACAUUGCUUUCUUUAUUUAUGAAGUGGUACACUUACUCUUUUUCUAAGGCAGGGCAAAAACCAGCUGAUCUCUGAAAGUUAAUUCUGGCACUAUGAUUGUCAAACUUUAGUUAGGCAAUGUUUUUUCUCUAACUAACUAUCACUAUACUUUUCCUUUCUGUUCAUAUUUGUCAAACUGAUUAAAGUCACAUCAUUCUAUCUCAGUAAAUUUCCAUCCCAAAUAUUAAUGUGAUAUUGCAGGACAUAGAUUAUCUGCCCUGCAUGGAUAUUUAAUAUCUCAGUUGCAAGAGGCAUUAGUUUCCUUUGCAAAGAAUUAAGUUGGGAAGUAUAUAUUUUACAAACCAGUGUGAUACAUUCUGGAUAUUAGGUGUUGAUCAUUAUUUCUUUCUCAGGACACUAAAUUUGUUUACUCUUCAAUCUAUUUAAGGAAUCUUAUACUGUUGGUUUCAGCUUUAUCUUUUUAGGAGAAAUUUCAUUAUGAAAGGAAAAGGCAUCACUAGAUUUGUUCAAACUUUUUAAAUGUCUCUGCCCACUAAUUUUACUUAACAAAAGUUUAAACAAAAAAGAAAGAAUGAACCAAAGAUAUCCAAACACAUUUCUAUAUCAUAAGGAUUAUAAAACAGCUUUAUUAAAAGCAAACAGUUAGAAUAUACUCCAGUAAUAUGCCUCAUGAAUAUUUUAGUUUUUUUAAAACUUUCACAAAAAUCUGUAAGAGUUAUACAAGUAAAUAACAAAUAUGUCUGAAGAGAAUGGCAUCUGUCCACUAAUGGUUGUUCCCAAGGAGAGAGCAUUUCUUCGCAGUCUCCGCUGGUCAUGGGUGAACUCUGUUGUUAAUGGUCUGUGAAUAGCAUCAUGGAUACUCUCCUGGGGACAGGCCUAGUUGCUAAUAAUUUCUACCAUGCAAAUAUGCUCAUUGACCUACAAUGGGGAUGAAAGUGCAGCCUUCUGAAGCUGUUUGCAGCAAUUAAACUCAGUGCCCAGGGUGGAUAAUUUCCACCAUCAGAACAAGGAAAAUGGUUAAUGCUGUGCUCUGCCUUUGUCUCACAUCCUGUAAUUUCUGUUGAAACUAUGUGUCAAGUGACUUCUUCUACUGAGGGUUUCCAGCAGAGUCAAUGUGUCUACAUCAUCACAUAUAUGAAAUUAGGUAGUUUAGAAAAUAAUGAUACUAAUGGGAAUACGAUGUAACUUUUCUGCACAUUAAUGUCUGUAUUUUUGUUGUACUUUCACUAGAACCAUGAAGGUGUGUGGGUGGAACUAUAGCCUAAUAGAGCUGUAUACAGGCUGUAAAUUGGAAGAGAGCCAGGGGAGAAGUCAGAGAGGCUUUUUACCCCUCACCACAUGAAUUUACUAUUAUUCUUUGUUGAGUUAUACUAAUAUACAAUGCAUUAUUCAUUAUUAUGUAUCUGGUUGUAAAAGUUUGAUAAAGUGAUAACACAUUCCUCAAACUCUAACCCAAAUUGAAGAAUAAAGAAAAAUAUUCAUACCCCUACUACAGAAAUUAAAAAGUGUAAGACAAAAGGUUGCAUGUUUCAUGUUUCAUGUUUCCUUUUUAGCAAUCCGAAGAGACUGGCACAGUCUCAUAUGCAUUUGUUCUAACUAUAUCUUUUAAAUGCCAAAAAUUGCACCCUUUUAAAAAGUAUUUUUUUUUAUUUACUAGGGCUUUCAAUAAUAUGGAUCAAUCUAUGUUUUUAGAAUAUAAAAUUAACACAAGAAUGAGUUUCAUUGUCUGAAAAAAAUUAUUUGAAACCUGUGAAAAAUACCUGUUUCACUGAGUGAUUGGAAAAUAUCUCAAUGUGUUGUUUUUUAAAUGUAUUUGUUGCUGUCAUUGCUUUUUCAUCUUUGUGAAAUGGUGCAUGUUAAUAAAUAACAGUAAAAGUGUGUUAGAAAUAGAUUUAACAGUUAUUAAGUCUAUUAAUUUUUGCAGUGGCUAACAAUCAGAUUUCCAGUCAUAAAGAAAGAUAACUAUUUUCUUUAAAAACUUGGGUAGCCAUUUAAUAUAGGCCUGGAUUUUAGUUAAAGUUCUUAAUUAUCCCUAAGAAAAGCCAAACCAAUCUCCAGAAUUUGCAGAAUUUGGAAAUUCUGUUCUUAGUUUGCAAAAAAUAACAUUGGUAUUUGAGGGGUUGGUGUUCAAUUCUUAUCAAUAAACUGAAAAACUAAUAUUUUUUAAAAAUGCUUAAAGGUCAUGGUGUCUAUUAAUUCCUUAGAUAAACCACGUUUUAUUCUUAGUUAGGCCAAAUGAUUGUUUUCACAUUUUAUAUUUUUUCUACAUCUCUUAUCACAAUCUAGCAUACCUUAUUUGUAUUUAUUGUGUUUAUUGUUUUUCUCUCCUUCAAAAAUGUAACCUUCACGAAGGCAUGGAUAUUCCUUACUGUGUUAAAUUCUUUAUCCUGGAACCUAGAGCAAUUUUUGGCACAUAUAAGUGCUCAUUAUAUAUUUGUAGAAAAAAAGAAUAUGUCAAUGUGCCACCCUUUGGGAUCUCGGCUGGCUUUUUAUUUUACAUUGAAGGCACUAUGUGUCUUAUAAAACAACAACUAUUAGGAAGCUUAGUAUCAAAUAUUUGUUACAUAUCCAGCAAAUAUAAAGCACCAAUUGAAUGAAUUUUGGACUUCAUAAUGACAUUGCUCUUGAUGUGCCUUUUUAUAUUGUUAUUUUUGAAUGUUACAUAAAAUAUUGUCUUAUAAAUCUGGAAAGUAAGGAGAAAAAACAAGGUAAAAGAAGGAGAUAGGAUAAUAAGAUGACAGGAAAGAAAAUAAAGGAAGGUAGAAAAAGAACAAAAGAAGAAGGAAGGAAGGGAGGAAGAAUUGUGCAAAAAAAAAGAAGCAAAUAAGAAUUGAGAGACCUAGGCAAGUUAAGUGGGAGGAAUUUUUGAAGAAAAGGAAACUAAGAGGAAGUGACCUUGGUAGUGAGGAAGAAAUAAAGGACUUGGGAACAAUUCCUUAGUUCGAAUUCCUGAAGCUGCAGAAUACAGGACAAAUAUUUUUUGCUUAGCAUACUGUAUUCUGGGUAAAUACAAAUCUUUCAUGGCUAAUUGUACUUUGCUUAAAUUUUGGAAGCCUUGUAGAGCUUUUCAGCUCUCUCCCUCUCCCAAUCAGUAAACCAGUCAAUAAGAUAAGAUGAAAUAAAAUAAAAUAAUUUACAUUUAGGUAAUGAAGUUCAUAUCUAAUAAUAGUAAUUUUUUAAAUUCUGAGUAGUAUUAGAAAUCAUUUAUUAUUUUAUAAUAAAUCUAGAGGGAGUAAAAAAACAUAGGCAUAAUGUAGGGUACUUCUGCAGUGAAGAACUGAGGGAUUACUCAUAAUCUUACAGCAAUGAAAGAACAGCAGCAUAUAGCUAACUAUUGGAUUAAUGGGAAGAGUUAAAGUUGUCCUCCAAAUACAGUCAUCAAUAACUUAUAGGAGCAAUAAUUCAGAAGAUGUUUGGAGGCUUAAAAUACAACUUAACAAUAAGCUACUCAAAGUACUGGAGUUGGUACCCUGUCAGCAGUCAGGAAAAAGAGCAAUUCUAGCAUUUGAUGAGCUAUGGUUACAGGUUAACACAUUAACACAGGAAACACAUUACUCCUCUAAAACCUUACUUCAAAAAUGUUUUAGAGAGAGUAAGAUCUGUUUCUUAUCAUUUGUUUCCUCACAUAAAGUCUUCUCUUUUUGAAAUCUAAAAAUAAAUGAGUUAAUGAAAAUCUACACUAAUUGAACGCAUCUAUUCAUGUACACAAGCACAUCAAUACUAGAUCAACCCAUUAAUUUUCCCUAUUGGCCUUAUCUGGAUGAUUUUACAUCACAAUACAUAAUGGGGGUCAUCUGGAAAAUGUCUAGUUAACCUUCCUGCCCUCCUCUGCCCUGUUCUGUGUCUUGGGAGACUGACUAUUAGGGACUACAUCAAUUGGGUGCCCUUGCCUUCUGACUUUGAGAUGGAUUUGACCAAAGAGCAGAAAUGGCAGGAGAUUAGAGGAGAGGAAAAUAGAGCCAGGUUGUUUAUUUUCUCACUCAUUUCUAGUCUGGGAUUUAUAGGGUCCAAGAUGCUUUUCAACUAUGUCUCCCAUUAACUAGUCUUUCUUAAAAUACACAAGCUCUCACUGGAUUCUGGUGACACCCCUUUUUCCCUCUGUUCCUUCAGGAUUACAGAGGUAAUGAUUUUAUGCAUUGCUAGAGCUUCUGUACCUCAACAUCCCCUGUUUGUUGCUAUACCCGGUUCACAUUGUACUAAAAAGUUCCUAUUAAUUUGUCUUCAAAUAGUCAACUUCCAUAUCCUUCCAUGAUGUAAAGGUAAUAUAUGUCAAAAAUAUAAUCUAGCCUUAUGACUGUGUCCUUUUGGGCUUAACAAACUGGGUUUGUAAAGCAAUGUAAGAAACAAUAAUUACAUCUUCAGCCCUGUAGUAUCAUUAAGAAACAAAAGAGGAAAAGUGAUACUGUAAAUACUUACAGUUUUAUAAUUCCACACUGAGCAUGGAGCCUGCUCAAGAUUCUCUCUCUCUCCCUCUACCUAUCCCUGGAAAGCAUGAGUGCGUGCGCUCUCUCUCUCUCUCUCAAAAAGUAUAAUAUAUAGACAAAACAUUUAUCAUCUGGGAAGUAUUAUAUAAUUAUUAGUUUUCUCAUUUAUUUUAUAUUAUUGCUAGAAGUAUAAAUUAUAUGACCCAGUAGAAGAAUACCUGAAUUGGUAGAGAACUGUAUUUUCGUUCCUAGAGCCAGGUUUCUGGCUUUGAGCCCAUUAAUUUCAGUUUUCAUUUCUCCUAGCUUUUUCAAAAUUACUGUAAUGGUCCACCUAUAUCUGAUGGCCCAGAAUGUCUUUGGCCUUUUCAUGUUUAAUGAAACUCAUCUAUGUUCUUUAAAAUCAUUUAAAUUAAAUAGUUUCUUUAUUUGUAUUAUAACAGAAAUCAUGCUUUGAAAUGUAAGGAAUAC